UACGGAGGGGGCUAGCGUUGUUCGGAAUUACUGGGCGUAAAGCGCGCGUAGGCGGCUUUGUAAGUCAGAGGUGAAAGCCUGGAGCUCAACUCCAGAACUGCCUUUGAAACUACGUCGCUAGAAUUGUGGAGAGGUAAGUGGAAUUCCGAGUGUAGAGGUGAAAUUCGUAGAUAUUCGGAAGAACACCAGUGGCGAAGGCGACUUACUGGACACAUAUUGACGCUGAGGUGCGAAAGCGUGGGGAGCAAACAGG
rnacentral:rRNA from 1 species